rnacentral:rRNA from 1 species
AUUGAACGCUGGCGGCAGGCCUAACACAUGCAAGUCGAGCGGAUGAAGGGAGCUUGCUCCUGGAUUCAGCGGCGGACGGGUGAGUAAUGCCUAGGAAUCUGCCUGGUAGUGGGGGAUAACGUCCGGAAACGGGCGCUAAUACCGCAUACGUCCUGAGGGAGAAAGUGGGGGAUCUUCGGACCUCACGCUAUCAGAUGAGCCUAGGUCGGAUUAGCUAGUUGGUGGGGUAAAGGCCUACCAAGGCGACGAUCCGUAACUGGUCUGAGAGGAUGUUCAGUCACACUGGAACUGAGACACGGUCCAGACUCCUACGGGAGGCAGCAGUGGGGAAUAUUGGACAAUGGGCGAAAGCCUGAUCCAGCCAUGCCGCGUGUGUGAAGAAGGUCUUCGGAUUGUAAAGCACUUUAAGUUGGGAGGAAGGGCAGUAAGUUAAUACCUUGCUGUUUUGACGUUACCAACAGAAUAAGCACCGGCUAACCUCGUG